AACAACGGCAGUGAUCAGACGACAUUUUGAAGGAGCAGAUCAACAGCGAGCAUGUUAAGAGUUUAAUGAAGAAAACGUUUGCAGAGUUUUCCCACUAAAGAGGAGCAGUUUAUUGAGGCAGAUUUUGAUAAAGAGAAUGGGUGCCAUACAUCAGACCUCACAUUAAAUCAGGGAUGAAUCGAGAGAUGUCGUCCUCUGUUGCUGGUCUAUCUGUAUGAAUAGGAGGAAGAGCUCAUCC